GGCAGGUUGAAGGUUGGGUAACACUAACUGGAGGACCGAACCGACUAAUGUUGAAAAAUUAGCGGAUGACUUGUGGCUGGGGGUGAAAGGCCAAUCAAACCGGGAGAUAGCUGGUUCUCCCCGAAAGCUAUUUAGGUAGCGCCUCGUGAACUCAUCUCCGGGGGUAGAGCACUGUUUCGGCAAGGGGGUCAUCCCGACUUACCAACCCGAUGCAAACUGCGAAUACCGGAGAAUGUUAUCACGGGAGACACACGGCGGGUGCUAACGUCCGUCGUGAAGAGGGAAACAACCCAGACCGCCAGCUAAGGUCCCAAAGUCAUGGUUAAGUGGGAAACGAUGUGGGAAGGCCCAGACAGCCAGGAUGUUGGCUUAGAAGCAGCCAUCAUUUAAAGAAAGCGUAAUAGCUCACUGGUCGAGUCGGCCUGCGCGGAAGAUGUAACGGGGCUAAACCAUG
rnacentral:rRNA from 1 species